rnacentral:rRNA from 1 species
GUGUCAGCAGCCGCGGUAAUACGUAGGGGGCGAGCGUUGUCCGGAUUCAUUGGGCGUAAAGAGCUCGUAGGCGGCUUGGUAAGUCGGGUGUGAAACCUCCAGGCUCAACCUGGAGACGCCACUCGAUACUGCCAUGGCUAGAGUCCGGUAGGGGCCCACGGAAUUCCUGGUGUAGCGGUGAAAUGCGCAGAUAUCAGGAGGAACACCGGUGGCGAAGGCGGUGGGCUGGGCCGGAACUGACGCUGAGGAGCGAAAGCGUGGGGAGCGAACAGGAUUAGAAACCCCAGUAGUCC